rnacentral:rRNA from 15 species
CGUAGUCGAUGGGAAAUCGGUUAAAAUUCCGAUACCGACUCUUACUGCGAUGGGGUGACGGAGAAGGCUAGGCUAGCGCGGCGAUGGUUGUCCGCGUUUAAGCGUGUAGGUAGGGGGAUUAGGUAAAUCCGGUUCCUCGUUAAUCUGAGACGUGAUGACGAUCCCUUGGGGAGACCCUCGGGAGAAGUAGUCGAUGCCAUACUUCCAGGAAAAACCUCUAAGCUUCAGGUAAGAGUUGACCGUACUGUAAACCGACACAGGUGAU